rnacentral:lncRNA from 1 species
CUAAGCCCUUUAAUUAACUAAGCUAUUCUGAUUGUUGUCACCCUGCUGCUAGUUAGUUUUUCUAACCUUAGUGCCUAAUGGGAUAUGAGACCUUGAAGACAUAUGACUUUUCCCAAGACAGAGGCUGGCUGCCUGCCAUGGAGAACUGCUACACAUUAUUUAUUCCCAGUGGAAAGCUGAGCUGUCUUGACAUGGAUGUCAUGUGAGGAGAGGCUACAGAUCUCGUGUACUUGGAUGGAUGUGAUUUCUCCUGAGUCUGGGUUUUUUGGAGGAGAGCUGAAGACAGUUAGAGGUAAGUUGUCUUCUUAUUGUCUAGUUUUGCCUGCUGAUAGAGAAUUCAUUGCAGCUGGAUAUAGCUCCUGUUUCAGAGUGGAUAUGCUUGAAGAUUCCGAGGAGAUCCUGUUACUUUUUCUUACUCAGUUUCUGUGUCCUAGUAACUCAAGGGUAUAGUACAGAAUGAAAGGUCUCUUUUCAGCUGAAAACAGAACUGGAACAAUAUGGUCUUUUCAGAAGAAGAGUGGGAACCUCCGUGUUUUUGUUGACAUUUUGGUUUACAAUUUUUUAUUUGCUUUCACAAUGAAAACAAAUAUGAUGGUGAGAAUUUGGGAGAAGAACAAAGAGUGAAUGUGUAUGUUCUGCAUCUUUUAUUCCUUUCUGUUUUCAGUAGUGGGACAGUAGACUGCAAGGCAAACUAACAUUUGUAGCCAAAUUUCCUCAAACCAUUUUGUCAGUGAGUUUCAGUUUGAACAAUGAGCGUGAUGAAAUCUGUGGUCAACAGAAGAUCCUGCUCCUUGCCAGUGUGCAUUUCCUGAGCCUCAUUGGUGUAAUUUCUGUGAAGCUUGAGAGAGUUGCUCUGUGAGUUUCUCCACUCUAUUUGUAAGAAAGGAAUUUAUAGUGCAAAAAUAUGUCAGCUUAAUAUAACAUCAAACAACAUUGGUGGUGUUAAACAUUGUUCAGUCACAUGGAAGAAGUGCAACAUCUACCAUAAAGAGGUGAUUUGGAACAGAGGAGUAACAUAUACAAGUGAAUAGAAAGAUUUGUUUAUUUAUUUGUGACUGUGAAGAAAUGAACAGCCCUUGGAGGUGGGAACAUGAGGACUAUUGCCCCAUUGCCUGCCCUUAGUAAAUCUGAGCAGAGAGGUGGGGAUGGCUCUCUUAGCAACCUCAAAUAUCUUUUCCUUUAUUAAAAAGGUGUGGAUUAUUAUCUAGUCUGAGACACCACAGAAUGAAGGAGUUGAUUUCUUGUAAUGUCUGAGAUAGUUUUAGAAAAUUUACUUCCUUUUGCCAACAAUAAUACCCUCAUUUCAAAAACCUUUUUUCACUACUAAAACCAAACAAAAGAAAAAACAGACUAGCAAAAAAACCCGGGAGAGUGGGAGAAAAAAACAGGUAUUUUCACUUCACUUUAUCUUGCAUUGUAAUCUAU